AGAUUGAACGCUGGCGGCAUGCCUAACACAUGCAAGUCGAACGGGAGUAGCAAUACUCUAGUGGCGGACGGGUGAGGAAUACGUAGGAAUUUGCCCUUAAGUGGGGGAUAACCCGGGGAAACCCGGAUUAAUACCGCAUGACCUCGAAAGAGCAAAGUGGGGGAUCGCAAGACCUCACGCUUUUGGAGAAGCCUACGUCGGAUUAGCUAGUUGGUGAGGUAAUGGCUCACCAAGGCGACGAUCCGUAACUGGUCUGAGAGGAUGAUCAGUCACACCGGAACUGAGACACGGUCCGACUCCGUACGGGAGGCAGCAGGUGGGAAUAGUGGACAAGUGGGCGCAAGCCUGACUCCAGCAAUGCCGCGUGUGAGAAGAGGCCGUUGGUUAGUAAACGCGUAACGUUUAAGGUUAGGGAAAGUAAAAACUCGACUUACUAACACGUAGU
rnacentral:rRNA from 1 species